rnacentral:rRNA from 1 species
UGGGGAAUCUUGCACAAUGGGGGAAACCCUGAUGCAGCGACGCCGCGUGAGCGAUGAAGCCCUUCGGGGUGUAAAGCUCUUUCGGCAGGGACGAUAAUGACGGUACCUGCAGAAGCAGCUGCGGCUAACUACGUGCCAGCAGCCGCGGUAAUACGUAGGCAGCAAGCGUUGUUCGGAAUUACUGGGCGUAAAGAGUGCGUAGGCUGUUUGUCAAGUUCGGUGUGAAAUCUCCUGGCUCAACUGGGAGGGUGCGCCGGAAACUGGCAGACUAGAGUGUGGGAGAGGAAAGUGGAAUUCCUGGUGUAGCGGUGAAAUGCGUAGAUAUCAGGAGGAACACCGGAGGUGAAGACGGCUUUCUGGACCAUAACUGACGCUGAGGCACGAAAGCGUGGGUAGCAAACAGGAUUAGAGACCCGAGUAG